UUCCCCCUUUUUCUUCAUGUACGUCUACAACUUCACUAUAAUUAAAUUCUCCGUAAAUAAAUAUAUGUUCUCUUAUUUUGUUAAAAUGUAAUUCUUUUUCCCCGAUCUCCAUGUAAAUUUGAUUUCUUACAUUUUCAUGAUAAUACUGUUGUAAUCAAAUCGAAAUAAUAUUACUACGAGUUACGAAAUUAAGAAAAAAAAAAAAAAAUUAAUAAUAAUAAUAAUAUGCCUGGACGUCAGAAAACAGGAACGAAAAAUGGAAAAAUGGGAAGAAGUCGACCAUCGUCACCAUCAGGAGCACACCCGCCACCGUCUCGUCAACAACGGGGGUAUACUACAACUACACAAGAUCGUAAAACAAAUCCUAUAAACCCUAAAAGUUCGACUGGUAAUUUUCAAAAUAUAGCUAGUACUGCUGCAGGAGUAGCUGCUGGUUCUGUAGUAGGUCAUGUUAUUGGAAAUGUAUUAUCUAGUGGUAUAGGACAUGGAAAUUCUGUGAAUGCAGGAUCGUCUUCCGAUUAUUCAAACGUAACCGAAGAGAUAUGCUCGCCAGAAAUUCGACAAUUUUUUGAGUGUGCUUCAAAGAACGAAGACCUUGAUACUUGUAAAAGCUUUCACAACACUUGGUUUGAGUGUCAAAAAAGAUACAGUCAACAUCGUUCGCAAGCUUAACAUUAAAAUAUUUCGUAAGAUGCUUCAAUGACAUACCAAGAAGAGUUGAUAAUAAUUUAGAUCUGCCAUUUAAAGGACACGCAUCACCAUGAAGCCAGCAACUGUGGCUGCUGCGAUCCCUAAACCAGCCUUCCACCAGACUACAGAGUCUUGUUGUAUCAGGCCAAAUUGGUUUAAAUGUCUGUAAUGUAGAAGAUACAGAAUUUAUAAGAACAUUAGAAAAGAAUAAGAAUAUUAAUGCCUUAGUAUAAAACAACCCUCACCACAUUCCGAUAUUUCAAACGUUGAAGAUAUGAUAUUUGAAUGAUAAAUUUUGUUGCAUGUACAUCUACUACAUUCAUGAUUUAAUCUAUCUAUCCAUCGAAUAUAAACAAACAUACAUACAAAUAUAUAAAUGUGGUAACAUGAUUUUUGAGUUAUUUUUAAAAGUUUUUUUUUUUAAUUAGAAUGAUAAGAUUAUAGAAAUUUUAUUUAAAUAUAUGUCUAUAAAAUAAGCAGAAAACUUGAUAAGAUUUAUAUAAAAAUGAUUAGAUUUACCGCUGAAAUUUAUUAAACUGAUAUGAGAAAGUGAUUAAUUAAGCUAGAUAUCAAACACGAUUAAAAGAGCGUGUUGCAUAUUUUUAGUUAUAUUAGACAUAUAAAAUAUUAUUUUUCUCUGCACUAGAGAGAAUAUAGCAAAAAAAAAAAGAAACAAAUUUAAUUAUGAGAUUGAUGAAUGAUUUAAUAGUAUUAGUCAUAAUACGAAGAUAUAUCACAUGCUCAUGCUUAAAAAGAUAAAAACAUAAAUAUAAAAGUAUAAAAAUUGAUUAAAAUUUGAAAUCAUGCUGUGUUUCAGAAACUAUAAUACAAAAGAAACCUUGUAAAAGAACUCCACCAUUGAGUGGGUGAGGGUUUGACAAACAACAUGUGGACCAUACGCCUCAAAGGGCUGAAAAGAGUAUCAUGUCUUUGUUAUGAGAAUUUUUUUCGUGCGAAUGCAAAACUAGUUUGAGCAAAUCGACCCCAAUGCAAUAAUCAUAAUAAAUUGAUAAUUCGCAUAAUAACGUGCAAUGAAAAAUAAAGCAUUUUCUAACUAACGUGACAUCUAAUGUGAUUCACGAUUUGCUCAUAAGCUUAUAUUUAUGUGUGUAAAGAAAAUCCAGACCAACCUGUGUCUAUAAAAUAAUACCCACGCUGGUUGAAAGCGGCUAAACACGAAAUUUCUUCUUGUUAGUUUCUAACAUUCAUUUAACCAUUCGCACUUAUAAAUUAAUAUAUUUAAUCAUUUUUUUAAAAUAGGAAGGAAUUAUAAUUACUUAAAAAAAAAAGAAAGAAAGAAAAAAAAAAAGAAAAACAAGAUUUUAGAGACUAGAUUGAAUUUUGGAGACUAGUAGAAGACAUAAUUUCAUUGAAUGAUAUAAUUAAGUACUUUGUUUCUUUUUUAAAUUGCUUUAAUCAUUAACAGAGAGUGUAUAUUGAAUUUUUUAAUUCCUGUUAUAUAUAUAUAUAUAUAUAUAUAUAUAUAUAUAUAUAUCCAAUGUUCUCAAAAUAAGAAGAUUAUUAAACUUACGGAAAUGCUGCCAUCGUUGCUAAUUUAACAAAUAUUUCUCGUCGUACAGCCCUAGACACGCUAUAAGGUUGUGGUGGCAUCAACUUGUACUUACUGCAAAAACUUGUUGGUUGAAGUAAAUAUUCUUGCUUUACUUCAGCAAGAUCACUUUUAUUAGCUAUUAUUAAAACUGGUAUUUUACUAUCUGCGAAGUAUUUCUAUAAAAUAAUUUUUCAAUUAUUAUAUUUACAUCUAAAUAUAGAAAACAUUUUUGCAAUACUUACAAUAUAAAUUCGUGCAAUAUAUUCAAAUGAUUUAGGAUUAGCUGUAUCAUAAACAAGAGCUGCAGCAUCACAUUGUAUUUGCGUAGGUGUUAAAGCAUCCUGGACAUUUAAUAUAUUAAUAUCCUUUAGAA